UACGGCGGGGGCUAGCGUUAUUCGGAAUUACUGGGCGUAAAGCGCACGUAGGCGGAUUGGAAAGUUGGAGGUGAAAUCCCAGGGCUCAACCUUGGAACUGCCUUCAAAACUCCCAGUCUUGAGGUCGAGAGAGGUAAGUGGAAUUCCGAGUGUAGAGGUGAAAUUCGUAGAUAUUCGGAAGAACACCAGUGGCGAAGGCGGCUCACUGGACCGUAACUGACGCUCAUGCACGAUAGCGUGGGGAGCAAACAGG
rnacentral:rRNA from 1 species